rnacentral:rRNA from 1 species
AUUGAACGCUGGCGGCAUGCCUUACACAUGCAAGUCGAACGGGAACUGGCCUUCGGGUGCCGACGAGUGGCGAACGGGUGAGUAAUACAUCUGAACGUGCCCGAUCGUGGGGGAUAACGAGGCGAAAGCUUUGCUAAUACCGCAUACGAUCUACGGAUGAAAGCAGGGGACCGCAAGGCCUUGCGCGGACGGAGCGGCCGAUGGCAGAUUAGGUAGUUGGUGGGAUAAAAGCUUACCAAGCCGACGAUCUGUAGCUGGUCUGAGAGGAUGAGCAGCCACACUGGGACUGAGACACGGCCCAGACUCCUACGGGAGGCAGCAGUGGGGAAUUUUGGACAAUGGGCGAAAGCCUGAUCCAGCCAUGCCGCGUGCAGGAUGAAGGCCUUCGGGUUGUAAACUGCUUUUGUACGGAACGAAAAGCCUUCUUUUAAUACAGGAGGGUCAUGACGGUACCGUAAGAAUAAGCACCGGCUAACUACGUG